UGCGUAGGCGGCUUUUUAAGUCUGAUGUGAAAGCCCACGGCUCAACCGUGGAGGGUCAUUGGAAACUGGAGAACUUGAGUACAGAAGAGGAAAGCGGAAUUCCACGUGUAGCGGUGAAAUGCGUAGAGAUGUGGAGGAACACCAGUGGCGAAGGCGGCUUUCUGGUCUGUAACUGACGCUGAGGCGCGAAAGCGUGGGGAGCAAACAGGAUUAGAUACCCCCCGUA
rnacentral:rRNA from 1 species